rnacentral:lncRNA from 1 species
UUAUUGGGACAUCAAUUAUGAACUUUGUUGAAAGAAACCACAUUUGCAGUGGACCUGGGAUGCCUGGAAUUGCCAAUGGAUGAAGAUAAUCAAAGGUAUGACUCUAGACCAUGUACCUCCACCAGGUUACAUCACAGCAGUUCGCUACCCGUACAGCAGGUGGCAGCAUGGACAUUAAAUUAGUGCGAGCGCCAUUAUAUCAGAGAAGAAGAAGAAGUAGAGAUGGCCGGACCAUGAGUGACAAGGGGAUGACUUCUUGGAUUAGACACGCCACACAGUUCCUAACACGUGACUUCGACUGCAGUGCUUUCAGAGGUCAGAAACGGUCUUGUUUGAUUCAUAUCUUUUUUGUCCCUUGGUCAUAUCUUUUAUAAAGGGGGUAAUGGAUGUGGUUUGGUUUGUCAUUGAGUAUUUAGAAUGAAAAUUCAAUUGAAUACAAAAUCUUUGAAUAUUCAACUACUUCAUUGUUGAGAAAUCGGUGUUCUGAAGUUUACACAUUUUUGGGGGGUAAUUUAG